AUCAUCACAUCAACAACUUAAUUUUGCAUAACUUAGAAUCACUAUCUCAUCAUAGCAACAAUAGUCUCACAGGCAUGACACAAUUUUGCAAAAGUGAUAAUGCAAUCCUUAUGAAAGAACCCCACAGUGUUUCCUCUAAAUAAAACUCCAAAGUGCCUUUCUUCUGAAUCAUUUCCGUUUAGCACUCUCUUCCAUUGUAGUAAAUGCAUCAGUGAGCACAUCAACGGCAGAUCGAGACUCAUCCUCCUGCAAGGCAGAGAUGUCAAGAGUAAAUGCUACGGACCGAGACAUAGAUGUUGAAACUUGCCCUUAUCCAAAAGAUGUCUGAUAACUUAAGUAAAAGAGAAACUAAAGUCAGAUUGUUACGGUCUCAACACUAAUUGUAAGUAUGCUGAAGCUCAACAAAUUACUGUGCACACAACGGCAGACCUGGGAAACAACAAGCAAAAAACCAAACGUCGCAUCACAUAGAGACCCCCGGGAGAAAAAAACGACCAGAAGAAAUCAAAACAAAGGCACAACAAUAAUGAUCCCGAUGAUCAAUCAAUUCUUUGACAGACUCCAGGAACUUCAGUUCAUAUAGCAGAUUCAGUUUAAAAUUUAAACUCAAUUGUUUCCAGCAUUACUUGGAGACAAGAAAAGACACUUUAUUUGGCAUGUUUCACAGCAAUUUUUGUACUCAGCCGCGCUGGUCACUUGGGGCAGCGCAGCCAUCUACUAUUUGGCAUGUUUCACAGCAAUUAUUUGUACUCAGCCAUCCACUAUGAGCCUUGGGAACGAGCAGCUCCAAGCCCACCUCAAGCUCAGGCAGCAGCUUUUCUACUAGUACAACACAAGAAUAAUUCCCAGGACGAUAGCAUUCACCAAACAUAGCAUCUAAUCACAGAACUUAAUUAACAAUAACUGAGAAAUAGAGGUGGCAUUUAUCACUUCUAUUGCAAAAAUCCAACUAGCAGACGACAGAUAAUUCAGAAUCACAUCACACAUGGCCACUUCACCUUCAGCUAAUCCAUGUCAACCAACCAACCCAACCUGUGUUCAAAAUCACAAGGGUACAGAACCACCUUCCACGUCCAGCCACAUGCACUUGACGAUAUCUACAGAGCCCCUAUGUGAUGUGAUAUGGUACAGAACCAUCUUCCACGCCAACGAUUGAAACCCUAGAAAAGGGGGAGGAGAGGGGAGGGAUGAGAUGGAACCAGCCCUUACCGGCGAAGACGCCAGGUUACCGGAGCAAUGAGUUCUUGCGUCAGAGACGGCAGGGGAUGAGGAGGCAGGACUGAUGGGCAGGGGUUGAGGAGGCCUGGAUGGAGCCGGCGAACGGCGGACGGAGGGUGGAGGGCCGAUGACGGAGCCGACGAACGGCGGACGGAUAGCGGAGGGCGGACGAUGGAGAGGGGCCAAGGGGCGACGGCGGAGGGGGCAAGCGGCGGGGGCGACGGAAGAUAGGGCGAAGGGGCGACGACAGAGGGAGGAAAUUCGCGAGGGGCAGCUCGCGUCUGUUCUUACACGGGUAUUGAGGGUUUCACGCGUGUAAUUUUGGGGAUGGGCCGGUCCAAUACCGGGGUAACGAACGGGCUGUGAGGAAUUUCACGGAUUUUUUUACCGGGCCUGUAAAAUACACUAGAUAAGAUGCCAAUACCUGGGUACCGAACGAGGCCUAAAGGUAUGAAUUUUACACCAGGAAACUCCCUCCCGGGUAGCACGAAAGGGCGACUCAAGAGGCGAUCAGAUCAAAGCUGCCAAAAUAACUACCUUCCCGUCGCACCGUUCACCCCGCUGCCCCUGAAGCCGCUCGACCACGGGCAGCUGCGGUAGGGUGCCUCCCCCUCCCACUUCUUGCUUCCUUCUUCCCUGGCGGUCUUCUUCUAAGUACGGCCUGUCUUUGAUCCGGUCCAUGUUAGGGACGCCCUGGCUUGAUCUUGUCAUAUCGGCGUGAGGGCCAUGGUUGUACGUUGUUGGGUGUUAGUCCUGCCAGGUGCUCAUCGGGCACCACGUACGCAUCAAACUGAUCAUCCCUAGAUGUGCCUUAUAGAUUGAUGAUACGCAGGCAUCCACACUGACGAAAAAGGGUUUCCCCCGCUUUGUUUUACAAAGCAACCAACCAGAACAUUCAAUGAUAGAUGCUGGGACGGAAACAGCACAAACACGUUUAAAAGAAACGAAAACGAAAAUACAAAAGAAACAAAUCCCGACACUGGCAGAUCCAUAAAAAAUGCAAAAAAUUCGCGACCGCUGCGCCCAGCAAGAGUCUUCCACCAAGCUCCAGGACUCCCAAGCGUCGAUACCCAUCAACACCUCCAAGGAGGGCUGCGACGACGACGGCGUUGUUGCCAAGGGUUUCCCCCGGUACGCGACUCGGCGACACCCAAAGGCGUCAUGGC
rnacentral:lncRNA from 1 species